UUACAGAGAAGUCAGGCAUCACUUCUGCAUCCUCCCCUAGAAAUAGCCCUUCUGUCCCUGGUGAUACCUUGUUUUUAGCUCCCAGAUUGUAAUUGUAGACAAAUCUUAAAUAAAUGCACAAAUUUAAAAGGAAAAGUAGUUAUGUAUAUAAGGGAAUAUAUAGUCACAUUAUAAAUUGACCAGAGGAUAAUUUACUAUCCUAUCUGAAAUAGGACAGAAAUCCUAUUUCAGAAUUAAAAUUUUUUGAAGGGAAUUUUUCCAGAUGCUUGAAAAAUUCAUUGGAGUAUAAGUUUAGGAAGUUCCUGAAAAUUAGAAUAAGAAGGAUGCGGGCUGUUGAGAUGGUUCAGGCAGGUACAAGGAUGCAGGCUGUUGACAUGACUCAGCAGGUACAAGGAUGAGGGCUGUUGACAUGGCUCAGCAGGUACAAGGAUGCAGGCUGUUGAGAUGACUCAGCAGGUACAAGGAUGCAGGCUAUUGAGAUGACUCAGCAGGUACAAGGAUGCGGGCUAUUGAGAUGACUCAGCAGGUACAAGGAUGAGGGCUGUUGACAUGACUCAGGAGGUACAAGGAUGCGGGCUGUUGACAUGGCUCAGGAGGUACAAGGAUGCGGGCUGUUGACAUGGCUCAGCAGGUACAAGGAUGAGGGCUGUUGACAUGGCUCAGCAGGUACAAGGAUGCGGGUUGUUGACAUGGCUCAGCAGGUACAAGGAUGAGGGCUGUUGACAUGACUCAGCAGGUAAAGGUACUUAAGGCCAAGCCUGAGGACCUGAGUCAAUCCCCAGGACCCACAUGGUGGAAAAAAGUAGACUCCCACUGGUUGUCCUUUGACCUCUACAGGUACCAUGGUACAAGCACAUAUGCAUACACAAAAUGUGGACUAACAAGGAUGAGAAUGUGACUGCAGAAGCAUUAAUUACUAGUUAUUUACAGUAGGUUUUUUGUUAUGUUUUGGUUUUUUGAUUGCCCUGGCUGUCCUGGAACAACCUAUGUAGACCAGGCUGCCAUAGGACUCAGAGUACUAGGAAUACCUCCAUGAGUACUAGGAAUAAAGUCAUGUGCCAUCAGGCCUGGCUUAUUAGUUUGAACAUGUUGAUAAUGGCACCAGGCAAUACAUGUAUGUUAAUUGGACAAAAUAGGAAAUGGAUAUAAAAGUAGAGGAUCGCUAUUGUGGUUCUGUUAUUCCUUGCAAGUCUUAAGUCAUUCAGAUUUUAUGUGCAACAAAUGUCAUCUGUAAAGCACUGAAGUCUAUUCUCCAAAUUAUUGGAAUAUAUUAAUAAACACUCUUUGUUCCUGUUCUCUGAAAUUAAAAUGUAUUCAUGAUCUCAAAUAUUAAGGUCAGUGGGUAAGGGAGCACAGAGAGAGGAAACUCAUGGGGUGGGAUGGAGACAUGACUCAUCAGCCAAGUGCUUUCAUUACAUGGUGAGAUCCUCAUCUGAUGCAGAUCCCAGCAAUGGUUAUGGUGCCUCCCUGUAAUCCUAUUGCUGAGGUGGCAGAGAGGAGGAUUACCGGAGAUCGUUAGACAGCUAUUUUUGUCUAAUAGUUGAGCCCAAGGCUCAGUGAAAGAUCAUAUCACAUGUGCAUUGAUUACUUUUUUGUAACUAUGAUAAAAAUAAGCUACCACAACCAUAAGUGAAUUACGGAAGAGUUUAUUUUGACUUAGAAUUGCAGCGGGAUGAGUCCAUCAUAGCAGGGAGGUAAGGCAGCGGGAAGCUAAGACAUCAUGUCUCAACAAAUACUAAGCAGAGAGUGAACAGGAAGUGGGAUGAGGCUAUGAAAUCUCAAAGCCUGCCCUUAGUAACAUCUUCGAGAAAAGCCAUACAUCCUAAACCUCCCCAAACAGUGCUACCAAUUGGAGACCAAGUGUUCGAAUGCCUGAACAUAUGGGGACAUCUUAAUUCAAACCUUGGCUCCCAGAGGCUCAUAGCCAUAUCAUAAUGCAAAAUGUGUUCAGUCUAACUCCAAAGUUCCCACUGUUUUAACACUGUUUCAAAGUCUCUUCAGAGACUGCUGGCACUUUUUAAAAUUGUAACUCCUUAUAAAAUCAAAAAGCAAAUUACACACUCACAACAUAACGCUGCAGAAUAUAUAUAUAUAUAUAUAUAUAUAUAUAUAUAUAUACAUAUAUAUAUAUAUACACACACACACACACACACACACACACACACACACACACACACAUUACCAUUCCAAAAGAGUGAUGGGACCAUAGUGGAUGGGGCCUCAGCAGCUCUCUGAAACCACAGAGGAAGAAUCUUUAACCCCCUCACUCUUGCAUCCUUCAUUCCUCUAAAGCCAAUAUACCGUGUGGAUGAUAAUGCACAGUUCCACUGUCAUCUUAGGAUGGACUCUGCCCACCUUGAACCACAUUAGCAUCAGCUUUUGUAUUCAGUUGCUUCCUAGGAACAUGAAACUCUUUGUGGGAUCCUGCCCUGGAGGAACCCUCCCCGUGUUCUAGUGCAGAUGAGGUCUCACUAAGGGUGCUAAUCUUCUUAACAAUUAUAGCCUGUCUUCUAGCACAAGCAUUGUAGAACUGCAUAAAUAUUAUCAGUAACAACUAUGCCACAAUUUCAACAGUAUGAUGUCUUGAAAUUUCCUCCACCAAAGAAAUUAGACCAUUACCUUUUCAUUUACCCUCAAGCAAGUCCUUAGGACUUCCUCAUGAGGCAGCUAGAUUAUCUAUCAAAAUAUCACAUGAAUGGCCUCUAACCAAGUUUCUAAUAGUGUUCCCCCCUUCUGAAACUUCUUGAGUCUCUACAUUCUGCAUAGUUCUCAGCACUACUGUAUUCCAAGAUCCUACUAGAAUGGCCCACUAAGCUCUGCUUACAGCAUCCAACAACUUUUCUAGUCCAAAAUUGCAAUGUCUACAUCCUUCCAAAAAGCAACAUGUUUAGGUGUAGCAAAUCUUUCUCUGUACUGCCAGCUUUCAAAUAACAACACAGAGACUUAUUAAUUAUAAAAGUAUGGCCUUAGCUUAGAUUUCUCCCACUAGCUCUUAUAAUUUAACUCAUUUAUUUUAAUCCACAUUCUGUUGCAUGGCUUAGUACUUCAUCUCUCCAUACUGCUGAUGCUUUCUCUGUGUCUGGCUGGAGACCCUGCCUUUCUUCCUCUCUGAGUCUUCUCUGUCCCUAGAAGUCCCACCUAACCUCUUCCUGCCUAGAUAGUAGCCAUUUAGCUCUUUAUUAAACCAAUCACACUGACACAUCUUCACAGUGUAAAGGAAUAAUCCACAACAUUCAGGUCCUUCAGCAAUACCCCACUCCUGGCACCAACUUACGUAUUCGUUACUUUUCUGUUACUGUGAUGAAAUACCAUGACCCAAAGUGACUCUUGGUAGAGUUUGUUUUAGUUUACAAUUCCAGAGGGAUAAGUGUCCAUCAUUUUGGGUAGGUGUGGCAGUAGGAGAAGGAAGCCUGAAUGAUCACAGCAUCUCAACUACAAGCACAAAGCAGAGAGCAAAACAGAAGAGAAACACAACUGUGAAAUCUGUUAAGCAAGCUCAAUAAACUCAUGGGUUCCUUAAGUUGGACUAUAAUGUAAUAUAUAUUUUUUUUCAGUUUGUCAUUGGUUCCCUGUCUGGGUUUUGUAGAUGUUUGGACAUCCCCAAGAAGAGCCUCACUGAAGUGUCAGAGGAGGGUGAGUUCUCUCUUCUGCUUAUGUUGGAAAAGGACCAUGAUGAGAGCCUGUUUGCUGCAUCUAGAUUGAUAGGUCUCUGCUCUGGCCUGGGUACUAAGGUCUCCAGAUCUGAAACCACAUCUCAAUUCUACCUUAAGUGUUGCCUGUCUGUUUCGCCAUUUCUGAACUGGUAGCUGUUCUAGAAAAUAGAUUAUUCUCAAAAGUGUGAAGGAUCAUAUUGGUUUGUGCCCCCUUAAUGGACACUAGCUGACUGUAUGUAAGCUGCCAUGUCUGACUUUCAAACCAGUUCAGUAGUCUAGACCCCGGCAUGCCUCUUUGCUCAGUUCUUUUCUGCUAACUCCAGCAGUGUUGGAGUUUUUCUAGGCAUGGUUCACAGGGCAUCUCCCUGACUUAGUUAGAAGCAGCCAUCCUACAACAGGUCCUCAUCAGAACCACUUGAGCAAGUGCUCAGGUAUGUAGUGGAAAGAACUGUUUGGAUUCUAGAAAGAUAGAUGGACAACUGAGUUCCUCAGAGAUUGAGAGAACUCAUUAGUACCCAGGAGGACCUAUCAUCUCAAAUACCUUCUGAAUUUAGUCCAGUAAAUAUUAAAGAUGUCAAAUUAUUUAGAGGAAGCCAGAGGAGGUUGAAGUUUUGGUGUUAUGCUGAACAAUGAUUUUUGUUGUCAGAGAAAGUGUUUUCUAACUUCAAGAUUGAUGACACAUGAAGAGGAAGGGAGGGAGGGAGAAAGAAAGAGGGAACAAUCUGAGCACUGUUUCUACUUAAAAAGAAGAAAACAUAGGUAACUCUUAAGUCGGUUAUGUGUUACCUUAGUUCUCUAAAUACUGGGUGAAUUUGAAUUGCUUCCUACAAACAAUUCUACCUGUCUAAACUCUCUAGCAGCUUUUAAAAUUUCAGUAUUAAGGAAAUAAAAGACAAUCCUAUUCAUACCAGAAAUAUGGAGAGGCACUUAGGUCCUGUUAGGCUGUUACAGAUCAAGGGUUUGCAAUGAGCAACUUCAGCUAUGAGAACAAAGUUGUGUGUCAGAAAAGUUUGCUCUGUAUUGCCAAGGUAUAUUAGGAGCGUGACUGAACUUAGUCACACUUACCAUGUGCUGCAGGGGUUGGGCCUGACCCAGGUGAGGUCUCCUCUUUAGAGUAGGGCAAGGGCACCCUGACAAACUAGGUUUAGGUGGGGGCUGUUUGCUGUAAAUCCACAGAAAACCAUGAUCAGAAUCAGCUUUUUGGCCAUUUCACAAUUGAGUUAGAGGACCAGCAUCAAUGCAUGUGAGCUGCCAGCCACCAGGAAAGCAAAUCUUGAACGAAGAGCAAGAAAAUGAUAGGGACACAGUAACCACUGAACUGGGCCAGUGUUGCGCUCACAUCUUUCCUGGAAGUUGCAUCUGGAAAACUAUUCCAAAUAGGCAGAGAAUGUCAUCCCCACAGAGAUGGGACAACUAGUCAUGUAUGACCUGGUAGUGCUGAUGGAGCAUCAGGACAUCAUCUCUACAUCAGCUCCCCUCAUCUUAUCAAUAUUAAUGUUAGCAAAGCAAGAUUUUAUUUAAUUAUGGAGAGUUCAAUCUCUAAGAAUGCUACCGGUAGCUAGGCAAUGGUGGUUCAUGCCUUCAAUCCUAGCACAUGGGAGGCAGAGGCAGGCAGGUCUCUUGAGUUUGAGAGGCCAGCCUGGUCUACAGAGUUCCAGGAGAGUCAGGACAUAGAGAAACCCUGUCCAAAAAAAGAAUGUUACCAGUAGGCAGUCAUCCCUCACAACACCAGCCUCCAUCAUGCCUUAGCAGACUGAGCAAGCCAUAGAGAGCAAGCCAGUAAGCAGCAUUCCUUCAUGGUCUCAGUUUCAAUUGCUGCCCUGACUACCUCAGUCACAGACUGUGACAUGGAAGUGUAAGCCAAAUAAAACCUUUCCUCUCCAAGUUGUUUUUGGGCAGUGUUUUAUCACAGUACCGAAGAAGCUAAUAGCUAGUCAGGACAGUUUCUUAUCAGCAUCUCAAAAAUGCUGAUCAUAAGAUACAAAUCUCAGAUAUCAAGGGUUACAGAUUUAUAAGGAAAAACAGUUUUGCACAUUAUACAAAACUUUUAUUCAAGGCAGUUAAGUGUAGGGCAAAAUCAUCUUUAGAGCUAGAGCAGAAUGUAUUCUGACAAACAACUUGGGCUGUUGGUGAUACAGCAGUGUUCAGUAUGCCUUCCAGCUCAGUGAGAAUUAGGCAACCUAAAGGAAUCUUCAGGAAACUGAUGACUGCAGUCACUUCUGUUCAGUGGUUUUCUAUUGGAAAUAGAGUGUAGAAAAUUGGGGAGGGGAUGCAAACAAAUGACAAUGAAUUGUUGACUACCAACUCAGCACUGACGCUGACAUGACAUCUGUCGUUCACAGCUCUUUAAUUUAGGUGCCAGCUCUGAAUGCCUUAGGGAGUUCAUUUGUCCACUUCUACAUGGGCAAUAUUCCUAUUAGAUCAGCUAGCAGGCUUUAUAUUAGCUUUAUAAGCUACAAAAAAUCUUGCUUAAGGAAUUAUUAAAUAGUUUGCACAUACACUAGGAGAAAGUAGGGAAAGUGCAUAGUACUAUUUGAGAAAAUAGGUACAUGUGCUAGAAUAGUAUUUGAUGUAGAAAUGUUUAGUUUAUGCAUGUAUAGGGGGCUGAAACCAGAGCCUCACGAAUGUUACCCAUAUACUUUACCACUUCACAAAGAAAAACAAAUACAAAGCAAAUACGCUUUCUAUCCUUAACCUAAGUCUCACCAAAGGAAUCUCCCAUUAGUAUAAAACACCCGCAUACAUGUGAAUGAGGGAAUCCUUUGUGCACUUCAGGCUGUUUACAAAGCAUGUCUGGCCCCUAUCUACUGUGUACAAGUACCAACUCCCAACCUCCAGUUACAACAACCACAAAUGUUCCCAGACACAGUGUACUCUGACAGAUAAUAACAUCACUCAUAUUAUUUAUUGGCACAUGUAUGCCUCCAUUUGAAAGUUAGUAUUAAAAUUACAAAGACUGGUUUUCCUUCAUUACAAACUUCUGACAUUUAAGUUUUGUUCAAAGUUUCACACAUUAUCAACAUUUAAUUUAUUCAAACUGUUCAACAAAACUUUUCUAAUAAAGUAUUCUCAAUUUGCUAUGGAGGUUUCCCUUGUGUACAAAUUUUGAAAUAUUAAAGAGCAUGUAAGUUCUCUCAAAAACUUCAUUAAGUGAAUUAGUUAUGGAGAUUUGCAUUCUUUUCAAAACAUCAUGCACAAAGAUUUGAGAAAGUAUUCCUCAACUAAACUAAGAGUAUUUGGGGAUAAAAAUGAGAGCCUCUCUGCUCUCUCCAAUCAGUUAUGCGUCUCUUAAAUUGUUGACUCUCUGACAAUGGAUGUCAAGGCCAUCUUGCAGGUCACAUUCACUUCAGGCCCAGAACUCAUGUAAACUCAGGGAGAAAAAAAAAAAAACUUACAGCAUUUCUGUGGGCCUGGUAGAAACAA